AGGAGGAGUAUGACAUUAUUUUAUUAAAAAGCCACCCCUCAUCCUCAUGUGAUGUCAAAGUGAUAACCGAGCCAGUGGACCAAAUGAAAGCCUUACAAAAUAAAUAGAGUAAAGAAUCAUUGUUAAAAUGCAUUU